UUCUUUCUCUUCUUUUGCAAAGCAGAUUCGCUCUUUGCCUGAUGACGCAAAUAUUGACAAAUCUAUAGUUACAAAAACUAGAUAGCUUGAGACUGCUUGAUAAAACUAAAUACAUCCAAUAAGAAAUUCUGUAUAUCAAUUCAUUUUAGAAUGAAAAUAGAUUGCUUCUUAGGAGCCCGUGUGCAGCAAUGUAGUAUCUGUCUUGGUGAUUCAAACAAUAUUUUUCUGAUUCUAAAGCUAUACACUCUUUAAUUUGCAGGAAGCUAGAGCAUUAUUAGGAACUAUGUGAAUAUCGUGAAGGAAACAUAGAAGCUGGUUUACAUGUAUUUGAAGGGGAAUAUAUAUUGAUGCAGAGACUCUAAAAAUUAAAGUCACCCUUUCUUGAGCAAGCAAACAUUGUAGGAGAUGUUCUUCAAGUUAUAGUACCCCACCUAUGUCUAUAAAUGCUGUCAGCUUACUUCUGGAAGCAUAUGUCUUCAAACAAAAUCAUUGCAAAGUCUUGGGAGGCUUAAAGUACUUUCCAAAGAGGCCUUGGCAAAGAAACAAUCCACCAAAACUGGAGAGGCCGUUGAAUUAUUGUCAACAGGAAAGAGCUAUAUUAGUGCAGCUAAUGAAAGACUAGACAAUGUGUUCGGCAAUCUCACCAAUCAGCGAGGAAUGGUUCUUCCUUUUGAACCGCUCUCAGCUACAUUUGAUAAAAUCAGAUAUGCUGUUGACAUGCCACAGUUCAGACCAUACGAUAGAAGUUCCAGGGACCAUAGUCCAGAUGAAGCAAAGGGAAAGAUUCAGGAGACAACUAUUCAUUUGCGGAUUGAAAAUCAGGGAGAUAAAAUGAACUGUGAAAAUGGCGCAACUGAAGGCACAUAGCUAGCAGAAAAGGUUUGUUAGAAGCUGACAUUUUUUCGUGCGGACCGAAUCUUGGUCUCUCUGUAUCCAGUAAGAAUUUAUGAUUUUUUGUUUUCGAUUUAUGUUUUCGUGAUUAUACGUAACAAUAAGAAUAAACAAAGUAUUGGUGUUAAAUAACCUGUGAGAGUGAAUUUUAGAUCCAUAAAUGAUUUAGGACAAUAUUGGCCUCAGAGAGUGUACGAUCAAUAAUAUUUUUGUCCAUGAGUUGUAGAUCGAUUCAUUUGUACGACACGUUCCAGUCUUGCUAUGUCUAA